UGUUUCGGCUAGGGGGCCAUCCCGGCUUACCAACCCGAUGCAAACUGCGAAUACCGGAGAAUGUUAUCACGGGAGACACACGGCGGGUGCUAACGUCCGUCGUGAAGAGGGAAACAACCCAGACCGCCAGCUAAGGUCCCAAAGUCAUGGUUAAGUGGGAAACGAUGUGGGAAGGCCCAGACAGCCAGGAUGUUGGCUUAGAAGCAGCCAUCAUUUAAAGAAAGCGUAAUAGCUCACUGGUCGAGUCGGCCUGCGCGGAAGAUGUAACGGGGCUAAACCAUGCACCGAAGCUGCGGCAGCGAACGUAUCACCCAAGACAACUUUACGGAGUUGACGAUUGACGGAGCGAAGCGACGUCAAAGCGUUCAUUAAAGUCGAGUUGGCUUAGGGAUACGUUCGUUGGGUAGGGGAGCGUUCUGUAAGCCUGUGAAGGUGUGUCGUGAGGCAUGCUGGAGGUAUCAGAAGUGCGAAUGCUGACAUAAGUAACGAUAAAGCGGGUGAAAAGCCCGCUCGCCGGAAGACCAAGGGUUCCUGUCCAACGUUAAUCGGGGCAGGGUGAGUCGACCCCUAAGGCGAGGCCGAAAGGCGUAGUCGAUGGGAAACGGGUUAAUAUUCCCGUACUUGGUGUUACUGCGAAGGGGGGACGGAGAAGGCUAUGUUGGCCGGGCGACGGUUGUCCCGGUUUAAGCGUGUAGGUGUGUGUUCCAGGUAAAUCCGGUUCACUUUAACACUGAGGCGUGACGACGAGGCACUACGGUGCUGAAGCAACAAAUGCCCUGCUUCCAGGAAAAGCCUCUAAGCAUCA
rnacentral:rRNA from 1 species